CACAGUUACCUUUUUAUAAGAUGCCAUCACCCCCAGUACACCCUGCUCAGAGAGGUACUUCCUCGUCCGAUGACAUCAUGGUCACGUGGUAUCCUUAACUGAGACGGCAACGGAAGCCCUGUGACCGGACCGGAGGACUGAUCAGCUGUAGCGGUGCUCCGGGUAAUGCAGGAAGCGCACCUGAUCUCAUUAUAUGCGGAUGACGUAAUCUUGACUAAGGAGAGUCCGGAACAGUCCCUGGCGGAGGCUAUGCGACUUCUGGAAUCAUUCGGACAGAUCUUCUACCUUAUUUCCUUGUCCCCAAUCACAUGACUGAAUUGGCUUCCCCCGUUGCUAUGAAGCUCCGCUGCACACCGCCCAUAUAUAACGAAGUAGCGCUAGCGGAAGCUAUACUCCACCAAGAGGAAGUGCAUCACUGCAUAAAACAGUUCUGUCUCUCCCGCCUCCCCAUCCCACCAGCCCGUAGCUGUUAUGCUCCUGGAUUGAAUAAACCAGACCUAUGGAUCACCCGCGGGAGGUCAUUUUAUGGCGCUGGUUGCAAAUCCGUCUGCUGAUGAGCUACAAGAACUUGAUGAAUUACAGAAAGAUGAGUCUCUCAAGCUGGUUCGUUGACAGCGCCAGUCAUUUUCGAAAAUCGUAACACACCUUAUUAAUUUAACUCUUUCGCACUUCCCAUAUGUCAAGAGUUUUUGCCGCUAGCUAUAAAUGGAAACGUUUCGUUCAAAUGUCUUCAUUCUUGAAACAUUCCUCGUAUCUGAAAAGCCAAAAAUAUAGUAAAUAUCAACAGUGCAACGUUUUUAGUUAUAUAGAAAGAUAGCCAUGUUGGUCAAGGAACUAUUUUCAUAAAAAUUCAACAGGUUGGAAUAUCUAUUAAGACAAUAGAAAU